AUUGAACGCUGGCGGCAGGCCUAACACAUGCAAGUCGAGCGGAGCGGCGGACGGGUGAGUAAUGCCUAGUAAUCUGCCUGGUAGUGGGGGAUAACGUCCGGAAACGGGCGCUAAUACCGCAUACUAUCAGAUCAGCCUAGGUCGGAUUAGCUAGUUGGUGGGGUAAAGGCCUACCAAGGCGACGAUCCGUAACUGGUCUGAGAGGAGGAUCAGUCACACUGGAACUGAGACACGGUCCAGACUCCUACGGGAGGCAGCAGUGGGGAAUAUUGCACAAUGGGCGCAAGCCUGAUGCAGCCAUGCCGCGUGUGUGAAGAAGGCCUUCGGGUUGUAAAGCACUUUCAGCGGGGAGGCGUUACCCGCAGAGGAAGCACCGGCUAACUCCGUGCCAGCAGCCGCGGUAAUAC
rnacentral:rRNA from 1 species